rnacentral:rRNA from 1 species
GAUGAACGCUGGCGGCGUGCCUAAUACAUGACAGUCGAGCGAACGGACGAGAAGCUUGCUUCUCUGAUGUUAGCGGCGGACGGGUGAGUAACACGUGGAUAACCUACCUAUAAGACUGGGAUAACUUCGGGAAACCGGAGCUAAUACCGGAUAAUAUUUUGAACCGCAUGGUUCAAAAGUGAAAGACGGUCUUGCUGUCACUUAUAGAUGGAUCCGCGCUGCAUUAGCUAGUUGGUAAGGUAACGGCUUACCAAGGCAACGAUGCAUAGCCGACCUGAGAGGGUGAUCGGCCACACUGGAACUGAGACACGGUCCAGACUCCUACGGGAGGCAGCAGUAGGGAAUCUUCCGCAAUGGGCGAAAGCCUGACGGAGCAACGCCGCGUGAGUGAUGAAGGUCUUCGGAUCGUAAAACUCUGUUAUUAGGGAAGAACAUAUGUGUAAGUAACUGUGCACAUCUUGACGGUACCUAAUCAGAAAGCCACGGCUAACUACGUG